ACAGCGGUAACUUGGUUGGGUGUUCUUCUCUGCUGUGUAGGCUUUGUUCUUUUGCUCUUUGCAGUAAAUGUUGCUGCUGCUGACUGUUGGGUCCCAGCCGUCUUUAAAAGCUAUUACACUCACGGUGAAGGUCUGUGGUUUCACUCCUGAAAUCAAGCGAGUGUACGAACCCACCGGAAGGAAGAAACUCCAGACUCCGAAGGAACAAACUCUGGACACACCAAAUGUAAGAAUUGUAACACUCACCGCGACGGUCCGUGGCGUCCACCCUCGCAGCUUCUUUCUUGAAGUCGCCGAGACCAAGAGCGCACCGAAAGGAACCAAUUGUGGACACAUCCGUUUUAGUGGAAUAAUAGUCCUUGGUUCUCUGGACAACCGGGAGAAUUGCAUUUUCUGAGGCCCACGAUAAGCACCCAACCGUUAAUAUUUCCAUGCUUCUCUGUCCAUCCCAUGGAGCCUGGGGCUUGAGGGACUGUGCAGUGAGGCAGCAACUCACAUCUCCAGCUGUUGGACUGGUCCUGCCAGCGACGUCUGCUCAGUAGAACAAGCAGCACUUCCCCCAGCUCAGCACUGUCUCAUUUCUGAGACUGAACACCCCGUGGUCACUCUACAUGGAUGGGUUAAUUUCCCUUGGAAAAGUAUUGAUGAUCAAGUGAUGCUAGCAGCAACAGUGUUAAAGGCUUUAACGCUUUUAAAGGUGAGACUUUUGGGAGUUGAUUAGGUCAUGAGGAUGGAGCCUGGUGAAUGGGAUCAGUGAAAGAGGCCUGAUGUGAGUCCCAGUACGCUGAAAGGACAAGUUUCUAAACUUGUCAGGCUAAGAACCAAACCCUGGACCAGAGUAAAUUCACCCAAAAACUCCACCUGACAAGGCCUUGUGGAUGACUGACAUUCCUGCAUGCCCCUGACAAUGCUCCAACCUCACCCAACAUUUUCUCCUUUGCGUGUCUACAGAUGCCUUAUGUUUGCUAUGGGUCAGAUGUCUGUCAUUAUGGAAACUCUCAGUAAAUUCAAGUUGACUUGAACUUGACUCAA
ensembl:lncRNA LINC02096 long intergenic non-protein coding RNA 2096